GACGAACCGUGCGAACGUUGUUCGGAAUCAUUGGGCUUAAAGGGCGCGUAGGCGGGCCGCCGAGUCCGGGGUGAAAUCCUCCAGCUUAACUGGAGAACUGCCCCGGAUACUGGAGGUCUCGAGGGGGGUAGGGGCAUGCGGAACUGUGGGUGGAGCGGUGAAAUGCGUUGAUAUCCACAGGAACUCCGGUGGCGAAGGCGGCGUGCUGGACCCUUUCUGACGCUGAGGCGCGAAAGCCAGGGGAGCAAACGGG
rnacentral:rRNA from 1 species